AAAGUGAAGCCGAGCCGAGCCGCGCCCCUUCGUCCCUGCGAGUGUUCUUCCAGUCGCUUCUUCUGUAGGAGCGAAGCGAAAAGAGCGUGGUGGGAAGAAAACACAAACGGUUCGGGACUUAGGAUUUUCCCCGGAAAGCGAACAAAAUAUAACCAGAGAUGGCAGAGGCCCACCAGGCCGUGGCCUUCCAGUUCACCAUCACCCCCGAGGGCAUGGACCUGCAGCUGUCCUACCAGGCCCUGCACCAGAUCUACCGCUCUGGGCUCCGCUCCUGGAAGAAACGGAUCAGCCGCAUGCAGAACAGGGUGAUCAAGGGAGUGUAUCCUGCGAGCCCUUCUUCCUGGCUCUUCGUCGUCAUAGCGAUCCUGGCAACCAUGUACAUGCGCUCUGAUCCCAGCAUGGGCCUGAUUGCCAAGAUACAGCAGCACCUGCCACUGAGUCUGCACGUGUCCCUCAGCUCCCAGGGCCAGACCAUGCUGUCGGCGCUGGUCUUCAGCACGCUGCUCUGGCUCUCGGUCAUCCUGGCGCUGCGCUUCUGCCUCAAGCUGCUGCUCUCCUACCACCGCUGGAUGUUCGAGAAGCACGGACGCACCUCCACCACCACCAAAGUCUGGGUGACAUUGUUACGGCUCUUGUCGGGCAGGAAACCGCUUCUUUACAGCUACCAGACUUCUCUACCUCACCUCCCCGUCCCCACCAUCAAGGACACACUCAGUAGGUACCUGGAGUCGGUGCAGCCGUUGCUGACGGGUCCUGGGUUCGAACGGAUGACGGGGCUGGCCAAUCAGUUUGAGUCGAGCCUCGGGAACCGCCUGCAGCGCUACCUCAAGCUGAAGGCUCUCUGGGCCACCAACUACGUGAGUGACUGGUGGGAGGAGUACAUCUACCUGCGCAGUCGCGGCCCCAUCAUGGUCAACAGCAACUACUAUGGCAUGGACUUCCUGUAUGUGACCCCCACGUCGGUGCAGGCGGCCCGGGCGGGGAACACCAUCACGGCCCUCCUCCUCUACCGCCGCAAGGUCAACCGGGAGGAGCUCAAACCGAGCCGCGUUCCCGGUACGGUCAUCCCGCUGUGUGCCGCCCAGUGUGAGCGAAUGUUCAACACCACCCGCACACCUGGGAUUGAGACAGACGUCCUCCAGCACUGGCAGGACAGCGAGUUUGUGGCGGUGUACCACCGGGGCCGGUUCUUCCGCCUGUGGGUGUACCAGGCGGGCCGGCUGCUCAGCCCCAGGGAGAUCCAGUCCCAGGUGCAGAGGAUCCUGGACGACCCCUCCCCCCCCCAGCCGGGCGAGGAGAAGCUGGGGGCCCUCACGGCAGGCGACAGGGUCGCCUGGUCGGAGGUGCGUAAGCGCCACUUCUGCGCCGGGGUGAACCGGCGCUCGCUGGACGUCAUCGAGCGGGCGGCCUUCUUCGUCACGCUGGACGAGGAGGAUCAGGGCAUGAGGGGGGACGACCCCGCCGGCAACCUGGACCGCUAUGCCAAGUCCCUGCUGCACGGGAAGUGCUACGACAGGUGGUUCGAUAAAUCGUUCUCCAUCAUCGUCUACAAAAACGGCAAGAACGGCCUCAACGCAGAGCACUCCUGGGCGGACGCCCCCACCGUGGCACACCUGUGGGAGUACACCCUGGCCACGGAUGCCUUCCAGCUGGGCUACACAGAGGACGGCCACUGUAAGGGCGAGGUGGACCGCUCGCUCCCGCACCCACAGAGGCUGCUGUGGGACAUUCCCUCAGAGGUCCAGGCUCAGGUGUCCAGCUCUCUGGCGGUGGCGCAGCAGCUGGCGGACGAUGUGGACUGCCACGUCUUCCCCUUCAGGGACUUUGGGAAGGGCCGCAUCAAGAAGCUCCGCAUCAGCCCGGACGCCUUCAUCCAGCUGAGCCUACAGCUGGCCUACUACAGGGACCGCGGGGGCUUCUGCCUGACCUACGAGGCGUCCAUGACCCGCCUGUUCCGGGAGGGACGCACCGAGACGGUCCGAUCCUGCUCCAACGAGAGCUGUGACUUCGUGAAGGCCCUGGCUGGAGGAGAGGAGGAGGAGCAUUGCAGACAGCUGUUCCGACGGGCUGCCGAGAAGCAUCAGAACCUCUACCGACUGGCUAUGACGGGCGACGGCAUCGACAGACACCUCUUCUGUCUGUAUGUGGUGUCCAAGUACCUUGGUGUGGACUCCCCCUUCCUCAAAGAGGUUCUUUCCGAGCCCUGGCGUCUCUCCACUAGCCAGACCCCCCUGCAGCAGAUGGAGCUUUUUGACCUCAAAAACAACCCUGAGUUCAUAUCCCUGGGCGGAGGCUUCGGACCCGUUGCGGACGAUGGCUACGGAGUGUCCUACAUCAUCGUGGGGGAGGACAUGAUCAACUUCCACGUGUCCUCAAAGCACUCUUGCAGUGGAACCGACUCCCAUCGGUUUGGGCAGCAGAUAAGUCGGGCCUUUAAGGACAUUUUGGCCCUCCUCUCGUCUCCCGAUGGCAAGGCCGCCAUGCCGGGGAGCCCCCCCCAGCCACACACCAAGAAGGCUCUCUGAGCUCGGACCACCGGCACUCCCGUUAGAUCUUCUUGAACAAGACUGUACAAAAUGGUGGAAAAAACCAACAGAUGUCCUCUCGUACAACCACUCCACCUCUGGAUGCUCAUUGGGCCCCAGAUCCAUCUUACACUUGACCUGGAUGUCCACCCAGUAAACUUAAAAUGUGUUUUUAAAAAAUGUUAUUAAGUAUAUUUUGUUAAAGGGAAAUAGGCAUCCUUCAUCCAGUUGGUUUUGCCUCUCAGUUGGAUGUGGCCUAAAACGAACAUGAACAGCAAGUCUCUAUGAAGGCAAAUUACCUUUUAAUUAGUUUACAAAAUAGUGAAUCAACAAGCUUUUAUUUUUUCAUAUAUAUAUAUAUAUAUAUAUACGAAUUGUUUAUGGUUACAAAGGGACAGGACACUGGGAUAGGAGCCACUUGGGUAUGAGUUUUUCCUUAUUUUUACCUUUUAAGUUACAGGGACGUAUUUGCUAGUUAUAUCACAAGAUCAUCAAAAACGAUCUAGGUGGGUACGGUGAUGUAUUAAUGAAGCAAUUAGUCCUGCUCCAAAUAAUGGAGUGUCUACUUCUGGUACGUAGAGUGUGAGUUCAUACGAGUCGUUUCUAUGAUUUAGUAUGCCUUUUUUUCAAAUGGUCUUCAAAAGGAAGGAAAACAAGGUAUCAAAUGGCUUUGUUUCACACGGUCAUCUAAAAUCAAUGUUUUAUAUUCUAUAAAUGAUCAGGGCCUUCAUCCUGUAGCUAUCACCUUGGGGUUCGUUGUAAAAAAAAAAUGUCUAACGUGGUGCAUUCAAAGCAUAGAGCAAGCUUCCCAUCCAUUUCUAAACCAGGGCUAGCCGGUUGAUUAGGAGACCGCAACGUCCUUCGUGGCUGUUACCGUAGACUAGUGGGAAGUCUCCAUUUGCUACGUGGGGACAGUGAUGCAUGUCUAACUUGUUUGAUGAUCUGAAGGACCUGUGUUUUAACGAGAACCAUUUAACCAUGUAACCUUCGUAGUCAGACUAAUGGUAACGUCUGGUGUACCGAAGACUGCGGAUACCGUAGAGCUUUUAUUUUGGAUAACUUUGUGAUUGUUCACGUCUUGGUGUUGACCUGAUUUAAAAUGUUGACACAGAUCUGGUAUGAAGGCACAUACUUGAUACAGAAGCUCACAAAAUACUGCCACCUAUGUUUAGACACAAGUGGGUUUUCCUUGAGCGCUCCCUCUGUCUGACACAUGGCUCUUGGCUCAGCCGCUCUCGCUGUUUUGCAAAGGAAGGAUUUAAUAAAUAACGGGGGGUUUUUUUCAAUCGUGUGUGCGCGCGCGCGUGUGUGUGUGUGUCCCCUGCAGGGAAUUUGGUUCUGUUGAAGAAAGGGGUGGACUAUGUCCAUUGAAGAAACCUUGCUUGGCUAGUGUUAAUGAAAAAUCGUCUCAUUGUGUUUAAGGCCGGUAAUGAUUAACUGCAAUAACUGCUUAGUGCCUUUCAUGGUGCGUUGGCUCAUCAGUGUGCUCUGGAUUUCUUCAUGUAAGAGGACUCUUUCAAUGCAAUUGUUAAUCAAUGAAAUUUCUUAAUGGACAAUUUUUUACCUUAUUCGAUUUCCCGUCUGUUGUUUGAGGUGUGCAGCGGAUAGCCAGUUCAUCUGAUGCUUGAGAGGCGUGUCCCCAAGUUGAAAGUGAAACAAUAAGGCAGAAGCCGCAAGAAGCCCUUGAAUGCUGCCGGUAUUUUUUGCCCUUGCCAAGAGUCCUUAUGGUUUCCCAAGCAGCAUGGUUCCACUGAGAUUCAUGUGCGACAUUGCCCUUGGUCUCUUGGUGUUCCUGUGCAUAAUAGGUCGGUCCCUCCAAGGCUGUGACGACUAUUUGGAUAACUCCACUAAGUUUUUGAAAGCGAAUUUCUCACCACACCAAUACAUCCGACUGGAAGGACUCUCCCUGAAUCCGGCUAGAGGAACAAUGAACCGCUCUGAAGUGGCGAACUGCACCACGCAUCAGUGGUGCACCCAGUCCGGAAAUAUUUCAUCACAUCAAUGCAAUAUAUAUAAAAGCUGUUUCAACCAAUAUAUGAAUCUCGCCCAAACGGGUUGCGAUUCAGCUCACGAGCUAUAUCCCCAAAAGAUGGAAAUGGUCUCCAUGCUUCAGCUGUAUUGUAUGGUGAACAUUGUGAAAAACAGGACAGAUUUUCCUUCCGAGUGCAAGGAAGGAGAAAAGAUCUAUGUCUGCACGCUGAAACCUACAGAAAAAACUCCCACUCCGUCGUUUCACGAUAAAACAACAACAGAAGCAGCGACAACAGAAGCAGCGACAACAGAAGCAGCGACAACAGAAGCAGCGACAAGAGAAUCAGCAACAACAGAAGCAGCGACAACAGAAUCAGCAACAACAGAAGCAGCGACAACAAAAGCAGCAACAACAUGCGGCUCAAAAUCCGAAAGUAGCAUAGCAGACAACCAAGGUUUCAUUGCGUCUAACGUUGUUCUAGUGUUCCUGUUGGUCUUUCUUAUCGUCUCAAAUGCAACCUGGUGUCAUUUCUUCCGAAGACAAAGAAGAACACACCAGCUUUGGAGAGCGGGACACCCAUGUGCUUGCCGAGACCAGCUAUUGACGGACACCGGUAGUAGACCUGUCGUUACUAGUCUUCUCUACUACCCGGGCCCCGGCACGUAGCAGAGCAGACCCGUCAUUUGUGAGAUUCCGGAUGAAGAGUCGAGGCCUUGACAGAACUUCUGGGGGGAACCACUCAGGACCGGGGGGACGCGAGGGCCUUACGCUGUGUUUGUUUUUUUUACAAUUUGUUGUAUUAUAUGGAUGUGGUAUUUGUCUAUAUGGACAUUUCCGCUGAUAGCCGCCAGUCUUUUACACAGCUUUCCACUCCAAAGUAAAGUGCCAUUCUGACUGCUGUAGAGUUGUAUAUUAGCCAAAGCAAAAUGUAUUACCAAAAAAAGAUCCAUCCGAAACCCCGCCCUGAGGUUCACUCAGCGGGUUUGCAUUCCGGGCCGCAAAUUUAGCGGCCCAUGAAAGGAGACUGGAAUGGGUCUUUUCAGUUAUUUUAGAUCCCCUAUAUUUCAACUAGACAAUGUUCUCCUUUCAUCACAAAAGAAAUGCAUUUUUUUUAAAGGUGUCGUGUGUAGGAUUUAUUGCCACCUAGUGACGAGUUUGCAGAUUGCAACCAACUGAAUACCCCUCCCUCUCCCUUUCCAACCACGCAGUAGAUAAGCUACCUUGGCCUGAAAGGUGCCAUUAGGUACCUCCAGAAUGUUGUAAUUUAUGGCGUGUCAAGUAAUGAGGUUCCUUGGUCGAUUUAAUUGUUCAUUGUUCAGGACUACUUCACAACACAGCUGUGCCACAUAGCGGGCUCUGUGGCCGAGGUCCCUAUCCCGCUGCCGUAUGGAGAUUUAAAGAGCUCAUUCUAAGCUAGCAAAAACAAAGAUUGGUAUUUUCAUGGGAUGAUGCAUUGAUUUCAAACAUACUUUAAAAGGGAAAGGCUUCAAGCUAGCUAUUCAAAGUCCAUGUCACCUGAAGGAAACUGUGAUUUAUGUGUUUUUUCUACAACGGUGAGCCGUAUUAUGUAUAGGUGUGUAUUAUAGGAUUGUAUUAUUCAACUUUUUUUUGACCGCGUGUUGAAUUUGCCUGAAAUGAUGUGAUUCAUGUUGUAUCAUUUGUUGAUAAAACUUUGAUAUUGUGUA